CUGUCGACAGGUAUUUUGGCAAACUCCUCGUGAGCAAACUGUUCUAGCUGUCUCCGGUUUGAAGGAUGCCUUCUCCAGACUGCAUGUUUCAGGCCUUUCCACAGAUGGUCAACAGGAUUUAGACCAGGGCUCAUAGAAGGCCACUUCAGAACAGUCCAGCUUUCUGACACUGGGCAGCACUUUUCGCUCCAGAAUGCCUUGAUAGUCUUGAGAUUUCAUUGUACCCUGCACAGAUUCAAGACACUCUGUACCAGAUACAGCAAAGCAGCCCCAGAACAUAACUGAGCCUCCUCCAUGUUUCACAGCAUCACGAGGUCAUCUACACCAGCACCUCAAGCCGGAGAAGCAGCUUCUUCCCCAGAGUCAUAAUUGUUCUGGAUCAGCUCAGUUACUCAUAGUUCUGCCACAGUUGACCUCACACACAAUCAUAUACUGCACUGCGCCACCAGAAUAAACUAAACAGUUCUUGUUAGUUUUGCUGGUGCAUUGCAGAUCUGAUCUGUUGCAUUAUUUUACUCCUGUGGUCAUUAUGUAGGCUGUUUUUUUAUAUUAUCUUAUUGCAUUCUAUUCACAUUUUUUUCCUAUUUAUUGUUCUUUAUAGUAUUGUUGUGCUGCCGGUUUUUGUUGUACUUGUGACAAAGAUAUUAUAAUUCUGUUUAUUGCUCAUGAAUCACUUGUCCACCGCUAUAACAUUAUAACAAUCUAAUCACUUAAAUGGCUGUUGUCAGCUCAAACUUAAAACAGUUUCACAUUUUGUCCGAUGAGAUAAAAUAAUUAAUUAAACAUUCUAUCUGACUUACUGAGCCUUCACAUGCCUUUAUAAAACAACAUGAAUUUGGAUAAAAGUGAGUUUAUUGCCAAAUCAUAAAUAUCACUUAAAACCUCUGAACUCUGAGUAAAGUCAAAACUGAUAAGUAUCAUGAAAAAGUACCUUAAAAACAAAGAUUUAUUAACAAUAGAUAUUAAAAGUCUUAGAGGAGCUCUCAUUGCAUA